CGUUUUUUUUUGGGGUACCUGGGGUAGGAAGCAACGGGGGAGGGUAGCUAGGGUAGCUGGGGGCUGCGGCGGCAGGCUCCCCCUGUGCUGCGGUGGCGGCGGCAGGCUCCCCCUGUGCUGCGGCGGCGGCGGAGACGUUCCGUCCCGCCAAACUUAGGGCGGCGGCGGCUUGAGGCCUAGAGGAGCUAGAGGAGCUAGAGUUCGCGGCCGUCGUAGUGGACCUAGAGGAGCUCGGUCCCGGGAGGCGCGCGGUCGUGGAAGGGGUAGCGCGCGCUAGACAGGCGAGGCUGUGUGCCACUCGCGCGAUGGCGGCGGAACAGUGGCUGCAGGACUAGGUAGUCGCCGUUACCGCCGAGGAAGACCGCCUAGUUCCGCGCCUCUGGGCACCCUAGGGGAGGAAGCCGUCCUGGAGGAGUAGACCGGACUACACAUAGGUUGCCGUACCCUCUAAUUUCUAAACGUACUCUGACUGCUAACACUAAAACCGGGACAUGACUUAUUAAAACCCUCGCUGACCUACUACUAAUAAUGUUCGGUC
rnacentral:rRNA from 1 species